CGAUUUUCGCGGUUGAAUACAUUAACAUCGAUCACGCUGAACUGCGAAAUGUAACUUAUUCUACUGCGUUCCUUAACCUAACAUAACCAUACAAGCCAUCGCUGUUUUCGAUUAUAGAAUGGGAGAGGUACGACGUCCGGAUUUAUUACACGACGACGGCUGGACGUAUGCGUUGUGAUUUCGUUCGUUAACGUUAACAGUACAGCGUGGCUUAUGUACUUAGAAAUAUGCAAUAUGGAUUUAGUUACAGUUAAACAGAAUUUACAUCUUCUCUUUAACUUUGUACAUUCAUUCUUAGAUUAAGCAGUGUUCUUUUAUCAAAACUUUCUUUCAUUCUUUUCUUUCGGUUAUGCAUUUUUUAUUAAAUGUGUUCUACAUAUAUCGAGUAGCUGAGGAUUCUGAAUUCAUUCUACUUUCAUGACAUUCUUGUAACUUUAUUUCUUUAAUUUUGCAUUAAUGAAUUUAAUGUGGAUUCUUUAAACAUUUAUUAUUGACUUGUAGAUUAAUAAUCGACAUCAUCUGGAUAAGGAGAAUUGAUGCAUAAGACUUUUAUUUCAUUCAUUGAUAAAUAUUUACUGAAAAUCAAAGAGGUUAAGUUUUACAUAAUCGUGUAAAUUGUAUCCUAGAACUACAAAUUCUUCUAUUGUCAAUUGGACGUUUGAAAUUUAUGCACAUGGUAAACGAUUACAGAUGUCAUAAACUAAUUAUAUUUUAAUCUUUGCUUUUUACCAAAUAAAUAAUUACAAUUAAGUAUAUAAACUGUUCAUCUUUUUAUGAAAUUUAAAUAUAUUACACAGAGCACAUUUAGUAUUUUUUAAAUUAAUCCUCGUUAUGAACGUUUUUUUUUCAUUUUAUUUAUAAUCUAUAUAUUAAAAAUUGAUAAGAAAUACAACAAUUAUGAUAUCGUGUUUCCCUCUUUCUCUUUGAAUUUCAUUGAAUUUCAAUAUGCAACAAUCUACAAAGUUAUGAUUUGCAACUUGAAUUUCAUUACUAGUAUAGCCUUUAUCAUUCUUAGUGAAGCUAUAUCCAGUGCCAACUGGAUUAUCAGUGUAAAUUAAGUUACGAGAAAUACUUAAGAAAUAUAAUACAUGCAUGAUGCAAGCGUGUUCGAAUCAUUCAUUGUCUAGAUAAAACACGUCCAAAUUACUUAGAGGAACAAAUACUGUGUAAGGACGACGAAUGGGGGAAGUCAUGUCAAGACCGAUCUCUUCGAUCGUCUCUUGUUUAUUUACCAAUACUUUUCGCUACAAAACUUCCUAAAUUCUCUGAAUUGUAUGACUACAUGACUGAAUUGUGUAUAUAUAUAUACGUAGUAAGAAGAAUUUAUCACGCUCGACUGGUUUUUCUUUCGUUACUUGCCGGAAACAAUAGAUAGAGGAACCUUUACGCAAUUAUCUAUAUACCAAUGUCAUCGUUUUCUUUCUAUUAAGAGUCUCUUGUAUGUAUUUAAAAAGAAACAAACUUACGUGUGCGUAAGCAACAAGAAUUUGCUAUAACGACAAUUUGAAGGUUUUAAAAUUAACCUUAUCCUUUACUUUUAUGCACGAAUUAUCGUCGAGAAAACAUCAUUUUUUGACACGAUUUUUUCAAACAAAACGAAGCGCGUAUUCGAAAGUUCGGAAGAAUCGUAUUCUCACUCGAAUAUUCAUCUUUGAAACGAUCUCGUUCGUCAAAAUCGUUAAAAAAUUAUAUCUGUAUUUAUCGUUGGCGUAAACCAACAUAAAACAACGAGCCGAUGGACUGUCAACAAAAAACGGACCUUUGAACGAAUCGGAUGGUUAUUCUCUCUUUCUAAAAGCAGAAAUUUCAAAAACAAUACUUUCCUCGUACUAACAUCGAAAAUAAUACACAUUUAUAUGAAAAAUAAUCGUACGCGGGUGCACGAACAUUUUCCUUACAAAUAUAUUUUCACGUUUACGAGCUUUAUUUCUACAGAUAUCAAAUCGAAAUGAUUAAUUUUCACAGUUUGAUGCAGCAAGAUAUUCGUUUAGAUAGUUUUUAAUUUCGUAUAUCAUAUUUUUAACGUUUCCAUAUUAUUAUACAAACAGAUCGAAACAACAAACACGUGGGGAAGCCAUUGUAAAGAUGACGUAACGCGUACGCGGGACGGUCCAUAGCUUCCUUCCUGCCGCUUAAUCCGCCAUUCCGAAUUAGUUCGUGGCACGCGUCGCAACCGAGCUUCGUCCUCUCGUUAAUUGCAGUUAAUUAGAAUAUUUUAUCCAACGUACGCUCUAAUUUUGUAUAUCGAUCGAACGUCGAAAACGCUAUUUCCACGGGUGAAUUUAUUAACAUCGAUCACGCUCAACUACGAAAUAUAUUCUGCUGCGUUCCUUAACCUAACAACCAUACAAGCCAUCGUUAUUUUCGAUUAUACAAUGGAAGAACUACGACGUUCGCAUUUUCGUCAUCAAUUUUACUUAUUUACAAUGAGAAAUGAUGUUGGACACACGACAACGACGACUGAUCGAAACUUUACAAGCACGUGGGGAAGCCAUUGGAAAGAUGACGUAAUAUGUACGUACGACGGUCCACAUCUUUCUUGCUGCCGCUUACUCCGCCAUUCUGAAUUAUUUCGUGGCGUUUGUCGCAAGCCAGCUUCGUCCUCUCGUUGACUGCAGAAUGGGAGAGGUACGACGUCUGGAUUUUCGUCUUCAAUUUUACUUAUUUACAAUGAGAAAUGGUGUUGGACACACGACGACGAGUGAUCGAAACAACAAACGCGGGGAAGCCAUUGGAAUGAUGACGUAACGCGUACGCGCGACGGUCCAUAGCUUCCUUCCUGCCGCUUAAUCCGCCAUUCUAAAUUAUCUCGUGCCAAGCGUUGCACUCGAGCUUCGUCCUCUCGUUAAUUAGAAUUAUUAGUUAAUUAGAAUAUUUUAUCUAACGUUCACUCAGAUUUUAUAUAGCGACGAAUACCAAAAAUGCGAUUUCCGCGAGUGAAUUUAUUAAUAACGAUCACGCUCAAUUGCGAAAUAUAACUUAUUCUACUGCGUUCCUUAACCUAACAUAAUCAUCUAAGCCAUCGUUCUUUCGAUUAUAGAAUGGAAGAGGUACGAUGUCCGGAUUAUCAAUUUUACUUACGUACAAUAAGAAGUGAUAUUCGAAACAGGACGACGAGUGGACGUAAAUUCUGUGAAUUUGUUCGUGAGCGUUAACGAUACAGUGUGCCCUGUGUUCCUAGAAAGAAGCAAGAUGGAUUCGGCUAGAGUUCAACAGAGUAGACGUCUUCCAUUUAAGUUUAUACAUUCAUUCUUCGAUUAAGCAGUGUUCUUUCAGCGAAACUUCUUUUAGUAAUUUGCCGUCAGAGUAUAUUUUUUGUUCGAUUGUACAUUUUUUGGGAAAUGCGUUUUAUAUACGUGGAAUAGUUGAUAAUUCGGAAUUCAUUCAAAUUGAUUAACGUUGAUGUAACAUUUCUUUAAUUUUACAUUAGUGGAUUUUACAUGGAUUCUUUCAACCUUCAUCGUCGUCAUGUGAUUAAUAAUCGACAUCAUCAGGAUAGGGAGGAGUUGUGCACGGUCGUCACCGCGCAGUUGAAUCUUUCUAGACGCAACCCACUUUUUAUCGAGCACUUGUUUAUGGUCGAGAUUUGUCUCGUACCAUUUUCUGUGCAUUUACGCUGGUUGCUCUGCCUUCGUCCAGCAUUAUAAAAUAACCGAGGACAUUCUACUCUCCUCCUUAUUUUUUAGACCUGCUUCAGAUGUCGUUAAUUGAUCUCACGUCGAGGACGAUCGAUGGGAAAAUCUAUGUACGCGAACGCGCUUAAUCUACAUUAUUUUAACGAGUCGACGUCCGUCUUGGAAUAUCACUGCGAAAUAAAAAUUGUAGACUUUUCGUUGAUAGUACAUGACAGAACGAAUACUGCUUAAAUCACGGAGUGGAUGUAUCAUUCGACGGAUCGUUUCCUGAUUGCUGUAAUGCGGUUGACAGUUCUUUAGCCAUCGAAAUGUUACAAGCACGUGGGGAAGCCAUUGCAAAGGUGACGUAAUGCGCAAGCGCAGCGGUCCACAGCCUCCUUGCUGCCUCAGAAUCCACCAUUUUGAAUAAUGAUUGGCACGUGUUAUGACCAAGCUUUUUUCUUGCAGGGCGUAGAUUCUGUAAAUUUGUUCGUCAGCGUUAACAACACAGUGUGGCCCAUGUUCCUAGAAAGAAGCAAGAUUGAUUUGGCUAGAGUUCAACAAAGUAGACGUCUUCCGUUUAAGUUUAUACAUUCAUUCUUCGAUUAAGCAGUGUUCUGUCAGCGAAACUUCUUUUAGUAAUUUGCCGUCAGAGUAUAUUUUUUGUUCGAUUGUACAUUUUUUGGGAAGUGCGUUUUAUAUACGUGGAAUAGUUGAUAAUUCGGAAUUCAUUCAAAUUGAUUAACGUUGAUGUAACAUUAUUUCUUUAAUUUUACAUUAGUGGAUUUUACAUGGAUUCUUUCAACCUUCAUCGUCGUCAUGUGAUUAAUAAUCGACAUCAUCAGGAUAGGGAGGAGUUGUGCACGGUCGUCACCGCGCAGUUGAAUCUUUCUAGACGCAACCCACUUUUUAUCGAGCACUCGUUUAUGGUCGAGAUUUGUCUCGUACCAUUUUCUGUGCAUUUACGCUGGUUGCUCUGCCUUCGUCCAGCAUUAUAAAAUAACCGAGGACAUUCUACUCUCCUCCUUAUUUUUUAGACCUGCUUCAGAUGUCGUUAAUUGAUCUCACGUCGAGGACGAUCGAUGGGAAAAUCUAUGUACGCGAACGCGCUUAAUCUACAUUAUUUUAACGAGUCGACGUCCGUCUUGGAAUAUCACUGCGAAAUAAAAAUUGUAGACUUUUCGUUGAUAGUACAUGACAGAACGAAUACUGCUUAAAUCACGGAGUGGAUGUAUCAUUCGACGGAUCGUUUCCUGAUUGCUGUAAUGCGGUUGACAGUUCUUUAGCCCACGUGGGGAAGCCAUUGCAAAGGUGACGUAAUGCGCAAGCGCGGCGGUCCACAGCCCCCUUACUGCCUCAGAAUCCUCGUUGAUUGCAGAAUGGAAGAGGUAGGACGUCUAGAUUUUCGUCAUCAAUUUUACUUAUUUACAAUAAUAAAUGGUGUUCGACACACAACAACGACUGGAUGUAGACGUGAUUUCUUUCGUUAUUGUUGACAUUACAUCGUGGCUAGUUUUCUUAAAAAUAAGCAAGAUGAAUUUAGUUACAUUCGAACAGAAUUGACAUCUUGACAGUACGAACGCUACUUAAAUCGUGGAAGGAAGCGUUCCUUGAUCUAACAACCAGCUAAGGAAUCAUUAUUUUCGAUGAUAGAAAGAAAGAAGUAUAAAGUUCAAAAUUUUCGUCAUCAGUUUUACUUAUCUAUGAUAAGCAAUGGUAUUGGACACAGGACGACAACUGAUAAGCAAUAGUUGACAUAUAUUAUUAUUUAUUUUCACGUUACCCUUUACGAUAACGUUUAGCUAAUUCUACAUUUAUUUUUUCAGGUUAUAGGCAUUGCGAUUUCGUCCGUUAUUGUUAACAAUGCAUCGUGGCCCGUGUUCCUUGAAAUAAGCAUGGUGAAUUUAGUUACAGUCGAACAGAAUUGACAUCUGUUUACACAUUCAUUCUUCGAUUAAACAGUGUUCUGUUAACGAUACUUUUACAUCCGAGUAUAUUUUUCUUCCGAUUACAUUUUUCAUUUAAUAUACAUCGAGUAGCUGAUAAUUCAAAGUUUAUUCAAGUUGGAUAACGUUAUCGUAACUUCAUUCCUUUAAUCGAUGAAAAAAUCUAUUUAAGCGAACGCGUCUUAAAUAACACUAUUUCAACGAAUCAUAUGGUCUCUCUUGAAAUAUCGCUGCGAAAUAGAAACGAUAGGCUUUUCGUCGAUAGUAUACGACAGAACGAACACUGCUUAAAUCGAAAUAUAUGUGUUAAUUGGGUCGUGGAUUCCCGGAUAGCAGUUCCUAAGUAUCACGCUCGUUAGAGCAAGAUGGUUCUUUAUUCUCUUGUCUGAUGAGGAAUACUUAACAUUUUGAUAUUUUUAUUAUAACACUAUUUUUAUUAACUUUGUUAAUUUUUUUUUUUUUUUUCUUUUAGGAAGCCUAUGUUGUAAUUUCGUUCUACUGUUUGGAUACGGAUAAAAGAACAAUUCAACGCUCUAGUUGGAAAUGGUCUUUGUAAAAUUGCGACUCAUGGAAAGCCUCCUUCCUCUAGGAUCUAUCAUGAAUAUGAAGAUGAGAAAGGAAAGGAAAGGAGCCAGGAAGAUGCGAUGGAAGCAAUAACGAAGGAUGGAAUCUUGAAGAAUCUUCCAUUGGAUUAAAAUCAGCAGGAAAACAACGCUUCCUUCAUUUUACCGAACCGAAAGAAGACUCGCCUCUCCUUCGUUCGUAUUGCUUCUUUAAAUCUGCUUAAGCUCCAACGUUCUACGUAAUUCUCGGCGAUUUUGCGCACCCCUAAGCGUUUCUGCGUGACACCCUAAGCGAUCCUGCGAUACCCUAAGCGUUUCUGUGAUACCCUGAGCGUUUCUGCGACACCCUGAGCGUUUCUGCGACACCCUGAGCGUUUCUGCGACACCCUGAGCGUUUCUGCGAUACCCUGAGCGUUUCUGCGAUACCCUGAGCGUUUCUGCGAUACCCUGAGCGUUUCUGCGAUACCCUGAGCGUUUCUGCGAUACCCUGAGCGUUUCUGCGAUACCCUGAGCGUUUCUGCGAUACCCUGAGCGUUUCUGCGAUACCCUGAGCGUUUCUGCGAUACCCUGAGCGUUUCUGCGACACCCCGAGGGUUUCUGCGACACCCCGAGGGUUUCUGCGACACCCCGAGCGUUUCUGCGACACCCCGAGCGUUUCUGCGACACCCCGAGCGUUUCUGCGACACCCCGAGCGUUUCUGCGACACCCCGAGCGUUUCUGCGACACCCCGAGCGUUUCUGCGACACCCCGAGCGUUUCUGCGACACCCCGAGCGUUUCUGCGACACCCCGAGCGUUUCUGCGACACCCCGAGCGUUUCUGCGACAUCCCGAGCGUUUCUGCGACACCCCGAGCGUUUCUGCGACACUACCUUGAGCGUACCUUGGAUACCCUAAGCGAUCUUGCAUGAUACCCUGAGCGUUUCUGCGACACCCUCAGCGUACCUGCGCAAUCCCUAACGUCGUAUUCUGUUCAAUUCUCAGCGUUUUGCGUAACCACCAGCAUUUCAAACGAUUCCCCUGCUUUAGUCUUGCGCAUAAUUGCGAUGUUUUACGAAAAAUUACAAGAUAGAAACAAAUUUGUUAGAAUCAUUGUUAUAAUAUUGUUGGAGUUUAUAGAGCGUUGAAAAAAUGAAACUUCAAUUGGAAGGUAGUACAUCAGUUGAUUUUUUCUUUCCGGAAUGUUAACAUAAAAUUGUUUUAUACUUCACAAGAUAUUACGUGCGGUGCAACGUUUAAGCGGUUGUAUUAUUGUUUAAAUCUUAUUUUAUAUCGACCAAUCGUAUAUUAUAGAUUCUUUAAAUAAUUGUAAAGUGAUAGAAAGCAUACAUAAACUUGGGUGCGUUAAGAAAACUAUUAUUUAAGUAUAAUUUUAUAUCGAACAAACGUAUAUUGUAAACCGUUUAAAUAAUUGUAUAGUGAUAAGAAGCGUAUAUAAACAAUGGUGCGUUGAGAAAAAUAUUUAAAUAUAAUUUUAACUCGAGUAAACGUAUAGUAUAGAAUGUUCAAAUAAUUAGUUAAACUAAUAGAAAGUAUACAUAAAUUCUGAUGCGUUGAGAGAAUUAUCGUUUAAUUAUAAUUUUAUACCGAACAAACGUAUAUUGUAAAAUUGUUUAAAUAAUUGUAAAGUGAUAGAAAGCAUACAUAAAUUUGAUGCAUUAAGAGAAUUUUAGACCACCGUUGGGCGUAUCGAAAACCGUCGUCCAGUAUUUAUCCGUAACAACAAACAUCUUUUUAGACAAUUCUUAGGAUAUCGCGUGACCCCAGCUUCGCGAAUAAUUGAAAUGCUCAUAUACUAAAAAAGAAAAAAUAUUAUUUUUAUCAUUGUAAUAAGAAAGCGUCGAAAAAAAGGAAGGCAGUAUGUAAGCAGAUUUCUGUUCUGCGAAACGUUCGAUUAAAAUUAUUUUCUACGUACUACGAGCGGUAUAAAGCUUGAGCGGCGGGGUUGUAUUCUGUAAAUAUUAGUUUGAUACUACCGAGCGUACAUAUGUAGCGUACAUUGCUUAAAUGAUUGUAAAACGACAAAAAAUAAAAAUGAUCUAGGUUUAGCGCGGUUCAACGCGGUCCAACGCGUGUACCGGAAAUUUUAGGGCAUGGUAGAGCGUUUCAACUACCGUGAAUCCAUUCGUGCGUAAUUAAGCGUGUUGCGUAAUUCCGAACAGAUUGGCGUAACCCUUAGAAAUAUUGCGUAAACCCCUAACCCUUAUUUAGGUAAAUUCUCUGGCUCUGCCAGACGCAACGCAGCGAUUUCGCCCACUACGUGGUUUGGCGUAAGUAUCCAUUUGGCAAGGUAUGGUUUUUUUUUACACGUAAGUCCUAUCGAUUUUUCGCAACGUCCGACGUGGACACCCAGAGUUUUGUCUUUUUCAGGUUAUCUGCAACCUCGGAGUUAUUCAUUUACCUACAUACUAUCGAGAUUACUGAAGCGAUGGUAUUUUUUUUGCAUAAUGUUAAGGGCAUUGCGUUGUUUUGAACGAAUGCGCGUAAUCAGUAGUUUCUUUUUUUUGUAUGAAGCCCACCGUAUCUAUACAAUCCUUACAAAUUUUGUGUAAACCUUUGCGUGUAUUCAGCCGAACUUCUGUGGUCUAACUUCGGUGUAAUCCAGACGCGACCCAACGAUUUGCAGUAAGUAUUUUUCUCACUUAAAUGCCUUUAUGUUCGUUCCGUAAUUCUACGCGUGUUGCGUAAAUUGCAUAGUAUCUGCAACCCGCAGCUCAUUUUCCUAGGUACCAGCGAAGUUAUUUAAACUGCGGCAUUUUUUUUUUUCAUAGUUCGGGAUAUUUUCGUUUUAUCCGAAGAAUCCGCGUUUUUAUAUAGCCUAACGUCUCUGUGUAAACCGUGGCGUGUAUUUAGCUUCAUUUUAGCGUGUCUACUUAACUCUAACGUUUCCACAUUAUCACUUAGUUAUCGACCGUAUUUUUUUUUUAACGUGAUCUCUAUUCGUCGCGUAAUUCUUCGCAUAUAUAGUAAUUUGGAGGGUAUUUAGAGCCCUAGCUUAUUUUCCAUGAUACUGGAUGAGUUACUUACCCGACAGAAUAUUUGCAUAGUCCCAGGGGUACUUCCGAUGAAUCGUUGCAAUGUCCAACUUCUUUACAACGCCAAGCGAUUUUGCGAAACCUUUGCACGAUUUGAAAGCCCUAGUGUAACGUAGCGUAACGUAUUUUUACAUAACGAUCCCGAGAUUUGUCGAAAGUACUUCUUUUUUCUUUUUUGAUAAUGGUUGUCGGAGGUUUUUCUUUUUGACAUUCUUAACAGCUGCGUUAUUCGUAGAAUGCUCUAAGCAGCUUAUUUUCGUAGAUACUAGCUAGGUUAUUGAAACGACAGCAUUUUUUCUUUUUUUCUUUUUUAUAAUUCGUAGGGCACUCGUUAGAUCCGACGAAUCUGCGUAAAUACUAGGAUUUUACUCGUAGAUGACCGUGUACUUUCAUGUGUAUCUGUAACUAUCAGCUUAUUAAUCGAAGAUUUUACCGAGGUUAUAUGAUCGACUGUAUUUAUUUUGCGUAAUCUGUGGGGCACUCGCGUUAUUUCCGAAGAAUCUGCGUAAAUACUAGGGUUUUCAGGAAAUGCAGCGUUUCUGUGUAAUCCUUGUCGAUUGGGCGUCGGUAAUAGGGCGUAUUUAGGUAGCCUCCGAGAGUGCGGCGUAAUCCGAUUGUUUCCGCGUUACCACCCUGUGAUUUCGCGUAAGUACUUGCAUUUAUACGUAAUACUUGUGUAAAUUCCUGUCGGUUUUCGAUAACUCGUGGAUGACCGUGUAGUUCCCGUGUAUUUACAACUGUCGGCUUAUUAAUCGAAGAUAUUACCGAGGUUAUAUGAUCGACUGCAUUUUUUUUGCAUAAUCUGUGGGGCACUCGCGUUAUUUCCGAAGAAUCUGCGUAAAUACUAGGGUUUUCAGGAAAUGCAGCGUUUCUGUGUAAUCCUUGUAGAUUUGGCGUCGGUAAUAGGGCGUAUUUAGGUGGCCUCCGAGAAUGCGGCGUAAUCCGAUUGUUUCCGCAUUACCAUCCUGUGAUUUCGCAUUUGGCGUCGGUAAUAGGGCGUAUUUAGGUGGCCUCCGAGAAUGCGGCGUAAUCCGAUUGUUUCCGCAUUACCACCCUGUGAUUUCGCGUAAGUACUUGCCUUUGUACGUAAUACUUGUGUAAAUUCCUGUCGGUUUUCGAUAACUCGUAGAUGACCGUGUAGUUCCCGUGUAUUUACAACUGUCGGCUUAUUAAUCGAAGAUAUUACCGAGGUUAUUUAAUCGACUGCAUUUUUUUUUGCAUAAUCCGCGGGGCACUCGUUAUAUCCGACGAAUUUGCGUAACUACUAGCAUUUUCAUAAAGUCCGGCAUUUCUGCGUAACCUACAGAUUUUACAAAAAUCUAAGUACGCAAUCUACAGCGUGGGACAUAACCCCACUGUUUUCGCUUUACCAUCCGGUGAUUAGAAGUAUUUGUCCGUUUUCUUUUUAGGUAAUCCCUCGGUUUUUCAAUAGUUCCUAACGUACCGACGUAGUUCCUAGGUUUAUCAGCAAUACCCAGGUUAUUUUCUUAGAUACUAGCGAGGUUACUUAAACGACAUUUUUGGCCUCCGAGCUUUCUCCGUAAUCUCAUUUUUUUCCAGGAUAUCUGUAACGAUCAGCUUAUUAAUUCUAGAUAUUAACGAGGUUAUUUAGUCGAUAGCAUUUUUGAAUAGUCCUUGAGGCGGUUGCAUUAUUUACGUAGACUAUACGAACUACCAGCAUCUUUAUAAAGCUCAUCGUUUCUGGGUAACCCUUACAGAUUUUGGCUUAUCCGACUGGCGAUUUGAAGUUAUCCGUAGUACCCAUCUUAUUUCCCUAGAUUCUAGAGAGGUUACUUAAACGACAACAUUGUUGCAUAAUCCCAGGGGCAUAUUCGUUAUUUCUUACGAAUCAAGUAACGACCAGCGUCUUCAUAAAGUGCAGCAUUUCUGUAUAUUCUCGUAGAUUUGUCGUCAAUCCCAGAACGUAUUUAGGUGGCCUCCGAGCGUCAGGCGUAACGUCAUAGUGUCCGCAUAAGCGAAUAAAUUUGUUUUUACCUAAUGCUUGUCAAAAUGCUUGUCGAUUUUGCAUAAUUCCUAAAUGUCCGUGUAAUUUCCACGGUAUCUUCAUCCACCAACUUACUAAUCCUAGAUAUUAACGUAGUUAUUUAAUAAACAGCAAUUAGCAUAGUCCGUGGGGCGUUUGCGUUAUUAUCGAAAAAUCGGCGUAACCACCAGCAUUUCCAUAAAGCUCGUUUCUAUGUAACCCUUACAAAUUUUGCAAAAAUUCUAGUACGUAUUA